UACGUAGGGGGCUAGCGUUGUCCGGAUUUAUUGGGCGUAAAGAGCUUGUAGGCGGUUUGUCGCGUCUGCUGUGAAAUUUCGGGGCUCAACCCCGAACUUGCAGUGGGUACGGGCAGACUAGAGUGUGGUAGGGGAGACUGGAAUUCCUGGUGUAGCGGUGAAAUGCGCAGAUAUCAGGAGGAACACCGAUGGCGAAGGCAGGUCUCUGGGCCAUAACUGACGCUGAGAAGCGAAAGCAUGGGGAGCGAACAGG
rnacentral:rRNA from 1 species